rnacentral:tRNA from 1 species
GCCGGCGUAGCUCAGCAGGUAGAGCAGCUGACUUGUAAUCAGCAGGUCGGGGGUUCGAACCCUCUCGCCGGCUCCA